UAAAAAAAGAAAAAAAAAAAGAAAAAAAAAGCACAGCACUGAAAAAAAAUAAAAUAAUUUAUUUGUUUUUACAACUAGUAUGUGAAUGGAUGUAAUGAAUUUAUUUAUUCUUAUUUAACAAAAAUAUCAAUUGUGCAAAUUCUAUAUUUAAAAUGUUAGCUAUCAUCUCUGUCUCUCUUUCUUGCUCUCUUUUAAUUUAUGCUUCAAAUCUGUGUUGAAAGUGAGUUUACAUAAUGUUUGGCACUGGUCAUUUUUUGUUUGUUUUUAUUUAGAAAGCUUUCCGCAUGGAACAGGAGUAUAUGUGUAUACACGUGUGCACACUGUAUAGAUGUAUAUUCCUUUUCUUCUGCCAUCUUUCUUAGAGAAGUUCAUGACGCCUGAUGCUCAAAGCUCCUCGUUACACUUCAGUUCUAAAAUAUCUCAGUCAUAGAGGCCUGUGGACAAAAAAAAAGCACCCAGGUUCUAAACAACAAACUCGCUUCAUAAAGGCGUGUGCAAUCUGUGCUCUGCUCCUUAGUAGUUUACCACUCAGGUUGGUUAAGUCUUACCAUUUGCGCCAAUGGGAGCAAGCUCAGGCUUGCAGUAAAUGGGAGUCCUCUCUAUGUGAAUGAAGUUUCUCUGAGUUGUCAGGGUGGCAAGUGAGUAUUCUCUCAUGCAGCUUCUCAUAUUUAAGUGAAAUCACUACAGAGAAAUUGUUUUGUGUGCCUCUCUGCAAUUACAGAUUAAAUGAUGUACGAUUUGGUUUAUGAAAAGUGAACCAUUAUAAAAGCUACCUUUUCAAUCUUUUCACCGUUUAUAUACUUAUAUAUCUAUUUAUUAUAGCUAUAAAAUGUCAAAAGCACAAUUUGUAAGGCUUUGCAAUGUUUUUCUUUGUUUUACUCUAGCUCUUUGCACCAUGUCAGGCAGUGAGACACAAAUAAAAAGCCAGCCAAGCAUGCAUUCCCAGUAUUUCCAUGAAAAUAACAGUAUCUGAUUACUUCCAGUUUUUGUCUAGUCCAAAUUCUGCUUAGCUUCAGGGAAACUGUACUGGGCUGUGAGGUAAAAAAAAAAAAUGUAUAGUAUAGAUAAACCCGUACUGUCAAUUAACUUAACAAUACAAAUUAUUUUUCUAACCACUUCACUGUAAGGGUAGCACUACAGAUGGCAAAGAAUCUAUUUCAAACUAUGGAAAGAUAUCUCCCUCAUCAGUGCCCAUAUUCACACAAGUUACAUUCCAUAUCAUCCUCUGUACCCAGUGUUUGCCACUGUCCAGGCCCUGUGGUACACCCAGAGCCAACCACAAGGCUUCAGAUGAAGUUACAAAGACCAGUGGGUGAUGCUUCCUCCAUUAAAGCCCACUCCAAAACACCAGGAAAUGACAAUAAGCCUUCACUCUGAUGAUCUUUGGGGCGGGCUUUAAAGAAGCCUUGUACAGUUGAAACAUUAAUAAUUGUGGGUUUUCAGCAAAAUGUUUAGGUAGGUGACUGUUUCCCCUUGUGUUCACGAAUGCUGUGCUGCUCUUUGUCACUGAGGAAGACAGAGCCCAUAGCAAGAAGCAAAGUUAGAUUCUUCAAGCCAUUACUGAUUUUGAGGCCUUUGUUCCUUUUUUUAAUUAAGUGCUUCGUUUUUAUAAAGUUGCACCCAUACUUGUCACUGGUAACAUUUUCAAUAGUCAUUUAUUUUACUGUGGGUACAUGGAAUGCUAGUUUGUAUAGUAAAGCUAAUUCAACAUUCUUGUUUGAAAUGGCAUUGCCAAUGCAAAUAUUUCUGGUUUAUUGCACAUACUGUUAAUGACUUAAGCUGAGACAAAUUUUCAGGUUCUCAACUGGCAUUGCAUGGUGUAGCUCUGGGGUUUACAAGAUUGUAUUACAAGUGGCAAUAUUCAGUGAUAUGGCAUACAACAUCCUAAAAGCCCCAAACACAUUGUUAAUGCAGGUGAGUGGCUGGAGAACUUCUCUCCAGAUACCCUGUACAGAUUUUAAAGAUUGAAACCAAAACUCUCAGGGUUGUUUGCCCUGAGAUUUGUCUGUAGAGUCUCACAGUAACUGUAAGGAUAUUUCAAGUAUUUCCACAUGUAUUGGCUAGAAUCUUGCAUAGUCUGUGUUGAAACAUAUAGGUGUACACAUAGAACUUAACCGUGCCUACAUGGAAAUGUGUAACUUUUUUUUUGUGUUUGUGUAUACAUGUGUAUGUAUAACCGUAUCCACAUUUGUAUGCACACAAAAUAAGUAUUUGGGUCUCCAUUAAUCCUGUUUACGGGGCAGAAUAGUUACACUGGUUUCAGCUAUACCUAGGUAAAUUCAGAGUAACUUCAUUACACCGCUUGCCUUUGCAGGAGCUGCUUCAGACUCAUACCACUUUAAGUAACAGCAUCAUUUCUCUUUUAAAUGUAUAGGAACUGGUUUACACAAUUUAUUGUAUGAACUGUGAAAUUUUCAGAUAGUUUUAUCAUAUGAAAUGUACUCCUCGACAGUCAAGCGUAUAUGCAUUGAUAAAAUCUCAUGAGAUAAGGGAAAUAAUAUACUCCAAAUAAGUUGGUGACAAUGUGUUCCCCUGUGUAGCAAUAAUUAAAUUUCACUUCUAUUGUCAGGUCAUUGUGUAACAUCAGAUAAUAUAAAACAAGAGAGGUGUUCUGGGGAAGAUGAACAGGAUAGCGCAGCUUUCAUUUUUUCUUAAUUUAUUUCAUGUGCCUCUUUGUAGACUCCAUUGAUGUCACUUCGUGCAUUACAGAUAACUUGACUGAAAUACCAGCACUCUAUGAAAACCAAGAUGUGUCACAAGACUUAUUUUUCAUUUUUCCAUAUGUCUAAUCAAAGAGAAUUAACAGUUUUAGAGCACUACUAUGUCAGCCAGUUUACACCAUAAAUAAUGUUAUGCGAAACAUUAAUUCAUUUGAACUGAAUUGUACAAGGUCUACACUGUACUAUGACACGUUGAAGGCCAAUAUUUUGUUUUGUAAACUAUUACAUAUGUAUAAUUUACCAGCUGUAAUCUUAAAACAUUUGAUUCUGUGAUUUCAGUUAAAAGAAGUAAUAAACUGUAUCAUAGGU
rnacentral:lncRNA from 1 species